ACUCCGUUAGCUCAGCCGGUAGAGCAAAUGACUCUUAAUCAUUGGGUCGGGGGUUCGAACCCCUCACGGAGUACCA
rnacentral:tRNA from 1 species